rnacentral:rRNA from 1 species
UACGAAGGGUGCAAGCGUUGUUCGGAUUUAUUGGGCGUAAAGCGCGCGCAGGCGGAUUAGUAAGUCAGAUGUGAAAUCUCGGGGCUCAACCCCGAAACUGCGUCUGAAACUGCUAGUCUAGAAUAUCGGAGGGGGCAGGGGAAUUUCACGUGUAGGAGUAAAAUCCGUAGAGAUGUGAAGGAACACCAGUGGCGAAGGCGCCUGCCUGGACGAUUAUUGACGCUGAGGCGCGAAAGCGUGGGGAGCAAACAGG